CCGUGGGCAUGAUGAAGUAGGAAUUACAUAAGACUCCUCUGCAGCCAGCUAGACAUGAGACCACAGGUGCUUUUCCAGGCGGCAGAUCUUAUGCACACAUGGAUUAUCACUAUCUUGAUACUUCUCAGUUUGUUGUUAAGUCUGAAAUUACUGCAUUGAGAGAACACCACUCACAUAUGCAACUGGCCAAGAUUCUGGGUCCACAGAGGAAGACAAAGAAGCCAGUUCUGAUGAGAUCUGAUGGUCAGAUGGAAGGGAAGG